AGAGUUUGAUUCUGGCUCAGAUUGAACGCUGGCGGCAUGCUUUACACAUGCAAGUCGGACGGCAGCAUAAAAGAGCUUGCUCUUUUGAUGGCGAGUGGCGAACGGGUGAGUAAUGCAUCGGAACGUACCGAGUAGUGGGGGAUAACUGUCCGAAAGGAUGGCUAAUACCGCAUAUUCUCUGAGGAGGAAAGCAGGGGACCUUAGGGCCUUGCGCUAUUUGAGCGGCCGAUGUCUGAUUAGCUAGUUGGUGGGGUAAGAGCCCACCAAGGCGACGAUCAGUAGCGGGUCUGAGAGGAUGAUCCGCCACACUGGGACUGAGACACGGCCCAGACUCCUACGGGAGGCAGCAGUGGGGAAUUUUGGACAAUGGGCGCAAGCCUGAUCCAGCCAUGCCGCGUGUAUGAAGAAGGCCUUCGGGUUGUAAAGUACUUUUGUCAGGGAAGAAAAGCCUGAGGAUAACACCCUCAGGUCAUGACGGUACCUGAAGAAUAAGCACCGGCUAACUACGUGCCAGCAGCCGCGGUAAU
rnacentral:rRNA from 1 species